rnacentral:lncRNA from 1 species
AUAUGCUCUUCCAACGUUCCAUCCCGUAACUUGCAAGUCUUUGUAAAAAUAAUCUGCAUGCAUGCAACAACGUCGUAAAAUAAAUCAUGCUUUUAAGAAAUUCCUACUGAAAAAUUUUUCUCCUCGAUCGAUUAGAUUCCAUAUUUUUAAAUAGAAAUAAUAAUAAUAAAAGUAAAAUAUAUACAAUGUUCCUCCACGGUCCAUGGGUUAGUCCUCCUCC